AAAAAGGAUUUAUUAGAAUCUACAUUACAAGUAUUUUUAAAAUUUGU
rfam:Solanum lycopersicum cultivar Heinz 1706 chromosome 5, whole genome shotgun sequence.